rnacentral:sRNA from 1 species
AAAGCAAGUCUUGAGUGUUUAGGGUCAAUUUAGUUAUCUGUUUA